AGAGUGAACGCUGGCGGUAGGCCUAACACAUGCAAGUCGAACGGCAGCACGGUAAGAGCUUGCUCUUAUGGGUGGCGAGUGGCGGACGGGUGAGGAAUACAUCGGAAUCUACCUUUUGGUGGGGGAUAACGUAGGGAAACUUACGCUAAUACCGCAUACGCCCUUCGGGGGAAAGCCGGGGACCAGCAAUGGCCUGGUGCUGAUAGAUGAGCCGAUGUCGGAUUAGCUAGUUGGUGAGGUAAUGGCUCACCAAGGCGACGAUCCGUAGCUGGUCUGAGAGGAUGAUCAGCCACACUGGAACUGAGACACGGUCCAGACUCCGUACGGGAGCAGCAGUGGGGAAUAGUUGGACAAGU
rnacentral:rRNA from 1 species